rnacentral:rRNA from 1 species
UACGAAGGGUGCGAGCGUUAAUCGGAAUUACUGGGCGUAAAGCGCGUGUAGGCGGUUGGUUAAGUCAGAUGUGAAAGCCCCGGGCUCAACCUGGGAACGGCAUUUGAUACUGGCUGACUAGAAUGUGGUAGAGGGAGGCGGAAUUCCCGGUGUAGCGGUGAAAUGCGUAGAGAUCGGGAAGAACAUCAGUGGCGAAGGCGGCCUGCUGGGCUGUUGCUGACGCUGAGGCGCGACAGCGUGGGGGAGCAAACAGG